GACGAGCGCUGGCGGCGUGCCUAAUACAUGCGAGUAGAACGCACAGUUUAUACCGUAGCUUGCUACACCAUAAACUGUGAGUUGCGAACGGGUGAGUAACGCGUAGGUAACCUGCCUGGUAGCGGGGGAUAACUAUUGGAAACGAUAGCUAAUACCGCAUAAUAUUGAUUAUUGAAUGAUAAUUGAUUGAAAGAUGCUAUUGCAUCACUACCAGAUGGAUAUGCGUUUUAUUAGCUAGUAGGUGAGGUAACGGCUCACCUAGGCGACGGUACAUAGCCGAGUUGGAGGGGUGGUCGGCCACACUGGGACUUAGACACGGCCCAGACUCCUACGGGAGGCAGCAGUAGGGAAUCUUCGGCAAUGGACGGAAAUCUGACCGAACAACGCCGCGUGAGUGAAGAAGGGUUUCGGGUCGUAAAGCUCUGUUGUAAGAGAAGAACGGGUGUGAGAGUGGAAAGUUCACACUGUGACGGUAUCUUACCAGAAAGGGACGGCUAACUACGUG
rnacentral:rRNA from 1 species